GGUUCCAUUGUGUAGCAGUUAGGAUAUCUGCUUUACAUGCAGAAAGUCCUGGGUUCAUCCCCCAGUGGAGCCA
rnacentral:tRNA from 1 species